ACCCGGAUGCCGAAGGGAAUCCACUGGACCAUUUUAGCGCCAGAGAAUCUGGUCAUGCCACUGACAACAGUCAAGACCUUGGUCAGUUGUAAGAUUCUCUGCAAAGCCACCCUGCAAGGACCCUUGAAUCAAAACAGCCCGGAAGCACCUUAAGGAUUAUUGAAAAUCAGCCUGUGGUUGGCUUUCUGAAAGUUACGCUGUCCUAUUGAUUAAAAGGCUUAAGCCCUUGUCAGUAGGUUUGGGUUGAAGUCCAAGUUGGUGAUUCGUAGCCCAUCACUAUACAUCCAGAGAAUAGGCUUUUUCUUUUUAAACUAUUGUUGCUUAUAUUUAAAAAAAAAAAAAGGGUGGGGGAGGCAGAAACAGGCAGAUGUCUGUGUGUUGAAGGCCAGCCUGGUCUACAUAGUGACCUCCAGUCCUGCUAAAGCUGUAUAGUGAGACUAUGUCUUGAAAAAACAAAUAAAUAAAUAAAUAAAUAAAUAAAGAAAUAAAUAAAGAAAUGAAAUGAAAUGAAAUGAAAUGAAAUGAAAUGAAAAAUAAAU
rnacentral:lncRNA from 1 species